rnacentral:rRNA from 1 species
GACGAACGCUGGCGGCGUGCUUAACACAUGCAAGUCGAGCGGAAAGGCCCUUCGGGGUACUCGAGCGGCGAACGGGUGAGUAACACGUGAGUAACCUGCCCCAGACUUUGGGAUAACCCUCGGAAACGGGGGCUAAUACCGGAUACGACACUCUGCCGCAUGGUGUGGGUGUGGAAAGUUUUUCGGUUUGGGAUGGCUCGCGGCCUAUCAGCUUGUUGGUGGGGUGGAUGCCGUACC